rnacentral:rRNA from 1 species
AGGCGGGAGGAGAGAGGACAUUG